GAUGAAGAACGUAGCGAAAUGCGAUAAGUAAUGUGAAUUGCAGAAUUCAGUGAAUCAUCGAAUCUUUGAACGCACAUUGCGCCCGCCAGUAUUCUGGCGGGCAUGCCUGUCCGAGCGUCAUUUCAACCAUCAAGCCCCGGGCUUGUGUUGGGGACCUGCGUCCGACGCAGGCCCCGAAAACCAGUGGCGGGCUCGCUGUCCACACCGAGCGUAGUAGCUAACCUCGCUCCGGAGUGGCGCGGGCGCCUGCCGUAAAACCCCCCCAAUUUUACAAGGUUGACCUCGGAUCAGGUAGGAAUACCCGCUGAACUUAAGCAUAUCAAUAGCGGAGGA
rnacentral:misc_RNA from 1 species